AAAAUUAUAGUUUAUAUAAAAUAUUUAAUUUGCAUUUAAAAGAAACAUAUGUUAAUUUUA
rnacentral:tRNA from 1 species